AUUUAUAUAGCUUAUAAAGGAGAGCAUCGUAUUGAAGCUACGAAGGAGAUAUUUUUUAUCUGUAAAUA